rnacentral:ncRNA from 1 species
UCUGUACAUUAGGGGUGCCAUUUUUAGGAGUGGCUGAGAGGACUAUCCAACCCUUCGAACCUGAUCUCAUUAGUCUGAGCGGAGGAAAAUGUGACUAUUAUUAC